rnacentral:lncRNA from 1 species
AGUACGAGCAUAGUGCAGAGGUCUUGCUUUCCCUCUCAUUACAUUCCAAGAUUGCACUGCAAAUAAGCGAUUCCUUCACCUCUUUAUAAGCUGCAAUCACCUUGAAAGAGGAAUAGGGUUAAAAUCCGAUCAAGAGUCAGUGAUCUUCAUGGAGUAUCCUUCAGUCUCAAUGGGUCCGACCUUUGGAUCCACGGUCAACUUGUUUGUUUUAAUUAUUCCAGAUUAAUGAUAAUAAUUCCAGCCUUGCUAAACUUCCGUCAAUUUCACGGAGAACUAGAAAAAUUAUUGUUUUAUUUAUAUUAUUUAUCGCCUAUUCCUUGGACUUGAAACUCUAUCAAUUAAAAAUGAAGAGAUGAAAAGGUUAUCGGUUGAUAUAGUUAAUGUCGGGAUUUUAACGCUCCAGAUUUCUCAACGGAAUGCAGGUAUAGUAGUGGAAACGUUUCAAGGAAAUCCAGUGAAAGUAGCUUUUCGUUUUUGCGAGUAGAUCCAAAAAAAACUGGAAAUCCUGAUAAGAACAAUGGAAAAACCUAAUUGAAUAAUUAUAUUAUCAGUCCUUGAUAAGUGAGCAAAGUUUUAAUUAAACCGGAGGUUUCUGAGCUCCGAAAAUCAAGUUCAAAGAUUCUCUUACUCACACACAGUCACAUGGAUACUUAGGCGGAGCAAAAAAGGCGUGUAAAAUUGCAUUAUCAGCAAUGAUACUAUUGCAAUUGGAUGUUAUUAUCAUGCGAUAAUAAGCGAUGACAUUGAUAUGAUGUUUCCGGAAAGUUUGCUGUUUUUUGUUAUGCAAAUUGAGCUGCAGAUUGACGGGUCGAGGUGGGUGCGUCGAGAGCUAGGCUUGAAGAAUGGCAGGGCAUCCGGUUUCAUGUCGCGGGCACGUGAUGGAUCGCAGAUAAAUGAAGAAUAUUGACUGGAAAUAUUAUAGAUAUUAAAAAGGCAGUACCCGUGACGUUUCCACCUCUGAUAUUUCUUCACCCGUUUAAAUUCAAUCGCUCUCGACAGAUUCGACAGAUCGAGGAACUCAGAGGUUACAUCUGGUAACGAGUGUGUGCGGGAAUGGAAAAAGAGGGAAGAAAGUGAGAAAACAGCGGAGCUAGCAAGAUUGCCUCUUUUCUAAUUUAUAACUACCCGGGUACCGCCUUAACAAUUUACGCUUCUCUAUACACCGUUUUUAUACUCUGGCAGUAUACCGAGAGCCCAUCCGAGGAAACGACAAUCCAACACACGAGGAACAGAGCCUCGAAACACCAAAUUGGCUUCUACUCCUAUCCUACAAUACAAUAAGUAGCCUUUUAAACCUUUUUUAUGUCUUAGACACAUUUAUUCCUUCCCUUUACUCUCUUUGUUCACUCACCAACUCACCUAACCUAGAAAUUUCAGGUCUCGAGUCAAGCCGGAUUAAGACUCGCUGGUAUUUAUUUAAUUUGAUAACCCGCCGUGAGGUUUACGCCGAGGACCUUAACUCGAGAUAUUAUCUCCGGUUAUCCUGAUGGGAGACGGGAGUUCUCUUCUGAAGAAGAAGAAGAAGAACAAGAAGAAGAAGAAAAAGCUAAGUUGUAACCGAUCUUCAUAAAAUGUUUCUGCUUUUAAGAUUCAGAUAACCUCCAAGUUACAACCCGGCUUUCCAUCUCCGUCCGAGAGAUUAAUUAAUGAUGCAAUUCUUACCAAAGGAUCUUAAGGAGAUCCAACUACUCUCUUAGUGUAAAUAAUGGAUAUAAAAAAAUAAUACGCAGAUAUACUUUUUUCUUAAAAUUAAUUAAUAUUUUUG